UACGAAAGGGGGGCUAGCGUUGCUCGGAAUCACUGGGCGUAAAGGGUGCGUAGGCGGGUCUUUAAGUCAGGGGUGAAAUCCUGGAGCUCAACUCCAGAACUGCCUUUGAUACUGAGAUCUUGAGUCGGGAGAGGUGAGUGGAACUGCGAGUGUAGAGGUGAAAUCGUAGAUAUUCGCAAGAACACCAGUGGCGAAGGCGGCUCACUGGCCCGGUACUGACGCUGAGGUGCGAAAGCGUGGGGGAGCAAACAGGAUUAAGAAACCCCAG
rnacentral:rRNA from 1 species